rnacentral:piRNA from 1 species
UGCAGGGAAUCUAGAGCCAAAACUAAGA